AUACGUAGGGGGCGAGCGUUGUCCGGAUUUACUGGGCGUAAAGCGCGCGUAGGCGGACUGGUUAGUUGGGGGUGAAAUCCCGGGGCUCAACUCCGGAACUGCCUCCAAAACUGCCAGUCUCGAGUCCGGGAGAGGUGAGUGGAAUUCCGAGUGUAGAGGUGAAAUUCGUAGAUAUUCGGAGGAACACCAGUGGCGAAGGCGACUCACUGGCCCGGUACUGACGCUGAGGUGCGAAAGCGUGGGGAGCAAACAGGAUUAGAAACCCCGGUAGUCC
rnacentral:rRNA from 1 species